GUUACAUGCAGCCUUGUUGUGGACGAUUAAUGACUUUUCGACGAAUGGUGACCUAUCAGGUUGGAGUAUAAAAGAGUAUUAGGCAUGUCCCUUAUGCAUGGGUGAUAGAUUGUCGUUCAGGAUACGAGGUAGAAUAUCCUUCAUGGAACAUUGACGCUAUCUUCCAAAGAACCACAUGUGGAGUAGAAGUAGGCUACACGAUGGAAAGCUAGGCGAUAGGUGUGUGUGUGCAAAAGACAUUUUCAGUUUGUUGCCUUAAGUGGGCGGACGUAGGUAGAGAAUACAUCGAGGUCGUUAAGGGCGACCUACAGGUACGUCCACUACAUAUUUUUAUUUUCAUUUGAAACAUAUUUAAGUUAACCAUGCUAAUGUGUUGUUUUUUGUAAUGUGUAGCGUUUUUUCGUACUUAAUUUCAAUGGAUAGGUUCGUUGAGCAUCAAGUGCUUAGUACCUUUAAAGAGUUCCGGGACGAUUGUCACAUACACUUCAAAAAGUACAGCUACCUUGAGGAGACACAUGCCAACCCACCACCACACAUAUUGGUAGGACAUAAUGGGGAUUGACACUACCUCUAUGAUCAUUAUAUGAGCUGUGCAUUCCAGUUGAGCAACUAAAUGCUUUAUAAUGAUUUAUUAUGUUUUCAACUUUUAAUGUGUAUAAGAGUUAACCAAUAGAGCAAUCAUGGACCAACAAGGCUGUUAGACAUAAGCAGCCUUACAAUCAUAGUAGCAGGUCGUAGUUGUUUCUACAACGACAACAUGAGCUCGUUGAGCAAAGAGAGAAGCCAGUCGAUCGUGUGGAGUUGUUUCGAUAAACACACGUUCGAGAUGGGACUUUCGUAUCGCAGGCCGCAAAGGAUACACAUAACUCCAGUCCCAGCCUACCCCCAAGGGUUCUCAGCCACUCUUUGAGAACGAGAUAUGCAAGACUGUGUUGGGUAGAUGACCAUGGUACUCAAAAGACCUUGGUUAGGGACCAAAGCCCAAGGCUCGCAAGACGGCUAGUGCGAGCAAUGCCACGACCUCGUGUUUGCAAUCCACGGUAGAGCUUUAAUUACGGGCUGAGCUUGAUGAAGCUAAGCGAGCGAUUGAAGAACAGACAAGAAAGCAAGAUAUGUUAGCUUUAGAAGUGGAACGAAUGCGGAAGCUCAUAGAAGACAUGACUUGGGCAUAAUAAACACCACCACAUGAUCCCUAACUUUACGGCCCUACGGUGUAGAAUGACGUACGAGACUCGUUAGAAGACAUACACUAUUUUAUAUGGAUUUCUGUGUACUUUUUAUUUUUGAAACAUUUACUAUUUUUUAUUUUUAUUAUAAACUUUGUUUAAAUUUUUUAAC